rfam:Oryza rufipogon genomic scaffold, chr12
GCUUGCCGUAUGCGGUGAGAGUCGCACGUACGGUAAGGAGGGGGGUUCGCGUCUAUACGUGUAGUGUGGUGGUUGGGCCUACCCACCCUAU